UUAGGGUAUUAUUGUCAUUUCACUCUUUAGUUUCUUUCUGGCUUUAACACGCUUCCUCAAAUUUUAUCCCAAAGAAAACUGCAACUCCGUUGUUUCCAACAGAAAACCACAACUUCCAUCUUCCUCUACCUCAGUUGCUUGCAAGAUUUCAUAGUUGUCUCAAAGUUCUUGUGCGCUUUCUCUGUUCUUCUUCGAUUGCAGAGGUUGUUUCUACUUUAUUAGAUGACACGUUCAGAGCAAAAGAACAAAUGCCCAUCAUUCUCUAAUACAACCGCUGAAAUGAGAUUCAAUCGGCGCAAAAAAUAUAAAGAAAUAUUGCUAGCUCAAAAAGAGGCAUUACUAUUACAAAGGCGCACAAGAGACCUCGAGUCAAGAAGACGUCUUCUACAAGUUCCUGUCAUGAUAAGAGAGCCUUAUGUUACGUCAACAAAAGUUGUUACAUCUGAAGUUCAUAUUUCAGCUGCCACUUCUCCAAAAGGGAAAAGUUUGUUUCAUCCUUCCCGUGUCUUUGAAACAGGCGAGUAUAACAAUCAUAUUAUUUUUGUUAGCUUUCGGCAGCCAUAUGGUAUUUGCUUCUUUAAUUCAUAACUACUUCUAUAUUAGGAUCCACAUCAGCUACAUCUCCUGAUCCCUGUACUGUUACCACGAUCAAUAUAUCAAAUAGAGGUUAGUCCCUGCAACGGGAAAGGGAAAAAACUUACAACUAUACGCAAUUUACUGAACUGUUGUCUUCAAAUUACAUCACUUGACUAUAAGCAAAGCUAGCACAUUUUGCAGUCCUCUUUAAUAAGGCCAGGCAGGUUCUUCAAAAAAAAUAGGUAUCCAUAAUUAAACACA